AGAAGUCUCAGGUGACAUAUGAGAGGAAGAAGCAGCUGACGAAACUGAGGCUUAAAGCUGAGAAGGCUGCUGAAGAGAAGCUUGGUCCGCAGCUAGCCAUCAUUGCUCCUAUCAAGUAUUGAAUUAGGGAAUGUACUUGUUUUCUUCUAAAAUGACAGUUUUUGUGGGUGUACUUGUUCACUUCCAUUUGAAACUCUUAUGUUUACUUUGUGAGUGGUUGGUUCCCUUUUCGUGGGGCAUUAUUUUAGUAGACAUUAUGGUAUACAUCUUUGAGCUUGUUUUCCAAGUUACAUCACCUUAUGAGGUGUGCUCAAUAUUGUGUUUUAUCCUAGAUUUCCAAGAUUGAGAACAUUUGCCGUGCAGUGUGGUGUUUCUGCUGUUAGGAGGCUUCUAUGCGAGAAUUUAUGGAUGAUUUGCCCACCCAUCCAAUUUACAAAUGUUUCUAGAUGUUUUACCAAGCAAAAUUGCCCCUUCUUUUGCUGAACGUUGGACAGCUUUCACCCUCUUAGUUGAUUGAAUUAGAGCCAUCGAAUCCCUAAUUUAUUAUAGUCGGUGGUUUUGUUUCUCUCAUACGGAGAGAGAGUGGUUUGUACGGUAAAAUUGGAGCGAGAAGCAAGCGUUGAAGAAGGUGAAUAUGUGCCUUUCAAAACCCACGUGUCUCAGAUAAAGGAUUUGUCAUCGAAGGUGUGUUAACCAUUCGAGAAGAUCUGACAGAAGCAAGUUUUGAGGAAACAACGUGUCAGUUUAAUUUUUUCAAUCCUAUUGAAAGCUGUUUUGAGGAAAAUUUUAAUUCAUGAGAUGAGUUUUUGUUUAGAUAAAUGUAAGUUAACAGUAACUCAGUGACUACUAUUUUUUUCUUUUCGAUUUUGCCCCUAUUUUUGCUGAAUGUUGUACGGCUAUAAGUUCUCGAACAAUAAAUCAGUCACGACUGUAUUAUUUUUUGCCGCUUUUGCCCCCUUUAUUGUUUGAACGUUGGACGGUUUUUCACCUCUUAGUUGAUCGAAUUUACAGGGAGUCAUCGAAUACCUAAUUUCUUAUGUCGGUGGGUUUGUUACUCUCCAGAUGGAAGAGGGAUGGUUUGUCCGGUACGAUUGGACGAGAACGAACAGAAAGCAGCGUGAAGAAGGAGAAUUAGUGCCUUUCAACACCACGUGCUCAGAUCCAGAUUUGUCGUCGAAGUUAUGUUAAACCAUCCAGAAGAUUGACAGAAAGCAAGUUUGAGAUUUGCCCCGAUUAUGUACACGUAUUCGUGUGGUUUAAAAAUUCUACAAAAUGGGAUUCGUGCUGGUUGUGUAUGGCGUUGCACUUCGUUGAGAAUCAGAUUAGGAUAGGUCAGUUUAAUCUUUUUCCAAUCCUAGUGAUAGUGUUUUGAGGAAUUUUUUUAGUCAUGAGAUGAGGUUUCGUUAGGAUAAAUGUUAGGAACAGUAACUCAGUGACCACCAUUUUUUUUCUCUCGAUUUUGUCCCUACUUUUGUUAAACGUUGUACGGCUAUAUGUUCAUGAAUAGUAACUCAGUGAUGACCAUAUUUUUUUUGCCGCUAUUGCCACUACUUUUGCUGAACGUUGGACGGUUUUCACCCUCUUAGUUGAUCGAAUUAUAGAACCACCGAAUACCUAAUUUCUUAUAGUCACUGGGUUUGUUUCUCUCAGACGGAAAGGGAGCGUGGUUGGUACGGGUAUAAAAUUGGAGCGAGAAAGAAACAAGCGUUGAAGAGGUGGAUGAAUUUGUCUUUCAAAACCCCGUUGUCUCAAAUCUAGGAAUAUAUCGUCGAAGUUGUGUUGACUAGUCGAGAAGGUCUGACAGAAGCACGUCUGAGAUUUGAAUCGUACACGUAUUUUUUGUGGUUUAAGUCUUCUCGAAAUGGCAAUUGAUGGGUGUGUAUGCGCUGCAAAUUCGGAGAAUUAGAUUUGGAACAAGGUUAGUUUAAUCUUUUCAAUCCUAUUGAUAGAGGUUCUGCUGAAAGUUUUAUUCAUGAGAGAGUUUCGUUUGGAACUUAUGGUCGUGAACAGUUAACUCAGUAACCACCAUUUUUUUCUCCCGCAUUUUGCCACUACUUUUGCUGAACGUGUACGGCUAUAUGUUUGGGAACAGUAACUCAGUGACGACCAUUAUUUUUUUGUCGCUUUUGCCACUACUUUUGCGAAUGUUGGACAGUUUUCAUCCUCUUAGUGAUCGAAACAGAGCAUCGAACCUAAUUUCUUAUAGUCGGUGGGGUUUGGUUCUCUCAGCAGAGUGAGAGUGGUUUGUACGGUAAAAUUGAGAGAGAAAAAGCAAGGGUGAAGGGUUGAUGAAGGUGAAUCUUUGCCUUCACAAUCACGUUGUCUUAGAUCCAAGAUUUGUCGUCGAUCGAAGUGGUUAAGAUUCGAGAAGAGUCUCGACAGAAGCAAGUCGAGAUUUGGAUCGUACACGUAUUUCUUAUGGUUUUUUAAAAGUUCUUCUACAAAAUUGGCGAUUGAUGUUGAUGUGUAUGCGCUCGCACUCCUUGAGAAUCAGAUUUGGAACAAUGGUUAGUUUAAUCUUUUCAAUCCUAUUGAUAGGCGUUUCGGGGAAAGUUUUUAUUCAUGAGAUUUGUUUUCAUUUGGAUAAAUGUGAGUGAAUAGUAAUUUAGUACACCAUUUUGUUUCUCCCAAUUUUGCCCUUACUUUUGUUUGAAGUUUGUUACGGUAUACGUCUGAACCCAUAUUUUUUUUACCAUUUUUGGUCUUACUUUUGCUGAACGUGGGACGGUUUUCACCCUCUUAGUUAAUCGAAUUAUAAAGCCAUCAAAUCCCUGAUUGUCUUAUAGUCGGUGGGUUUGUUUCUCUCAGACGGAGCGGGACUGGUUUUGUACGGUAAAAUUGGAGUGCAAGAGCCAGCGGUGAUGAAGGUGAAUUCAUCUCCUUUUGAAAAUCUCGGGUCCCAGAUCCAAGAUGUUGGUCCGUCGAAAUUGUGUUCACCAUCCAGUAUAUCUGACAGAAGCAAGUCGAGAUUUGCGAUCGUAACACGUAUUUCUUGUGGUGUUAAAAGUUCUUCUACAAAAUGGCGGAUUACAGUUUGUUGGGGGAGGGAGGCGCGCUUCUCGUUUAGGAAGCAAUUUGGAACAAGGUCCAGUUUUAGUCUUUUCAUCCUAUUGAUGGGAUUUUUUUGGAAGAAAAUUUUUAUCUCAUGAGAUGAAUUUUCGUUUGGAUAGAUGUGAGUGAACAGUAACUCAUGAACCACCAUUGGGUCUUUCCCGAUUUGCUUCUCCACUGCAUCUGCGGCCUCGGACCGUCUACUAAAAUCGAUCUACCACAGCUAGAGUUUGGGGAAGAAGGUGAAAACUACACACACCUCGACCCCUUCAUUUUUUUGCGCGUUGCCCCUUCUUUUGUUGAAUGUUGGACGGUUUUUCACCGCUAGCAGUUGAGCCGACUUAACAAGUGGGGUGCAUCACAAAUCCCUAAUUUCUGUAGGCGGUGGGUUGUUUCGCUCAACGAGAGAGAGUGGGUUUGUCCGAUAAAAUGGAGCAAGACAAGCGUUUUGAUAAGGUGAAUCAUGCCGUUGCAAAUCAACGUGUCGCAAUCCAAGAUUUGUCGUCGAAAGUUGGUUAACCAUUCAGUAAUCUUGACAGAAGCAAGUCUUAGAUUGCGACGUACACGUUUUCCUUGUGGUUUAAAAUUCUUCUACAAAAUGGCGAUGGAGGGUGGUUGUUAGUGCUGCACUUUCGUUAAGAAGCAGAUUUUGGACAAGGUCAUUUAAUCGUUUCAAUCCUAUUGAUGGAUGGUUUUGAGGAAAAUUUUUUAUUCAUGAGAUAGUUUGUCGUUUGGAAGAUUGGUGAACAUAACUCAGUAACCACCAUUUGUUUUCUCCCGUUUGUUCCUAUUUUUGUUGAAGGUUUACACUAUAUAUUUGGCGAAUAUAACGUCAUUGACGACCAUAUUUUUUGCCGGUUUUGCCCCUUCUUUUGUUGAACGAUGGACGAUUUUCACCCUCUAAGUUGAUCCAAUUACAGAGCCAUCAAAUUCCUAAUUUCUUGUAGUCGGUGGGUUUGUUUCUCUCAAACGGAGAGGGAGUGGUUUAUCCGGUAAAAUGGAGCAAGAAGCAAGCAUUGAUGAAGGUGAAUAUGUGGCUUUCAAAACCCACGUGUCUCAGAUCCAAGAUUUGUCGUCGAAGUUGUGUUAACCAUUCCAGUAGAUUUGACAUAAGCAAGUUUGAGAUUUGCAAUCGUACACGUAUUUCUUGUGGUUUAAAAGUUCUUCUACAAAAUGGCGUUGAUUUGUUUGUCUGCGCUGCACUUCGUUGAGAGAAUUCAGAUUUGGAACAAGGUUCAGUUUUAUCUUUUCCAUCCAUUGAUGGAUUUUUGAGAAAAGGUAGGUGUGAGACGUGAAUCUGUACGUCAUGAGAUGAGUUUUGCGUUUGGAUAGAUGUGAGUGAACAGUACUCAGUAACCACCAUUGUUUUCUUCCCGAUUUGUUUCCUAUUUUUGUUGAAUGGUUUAUCGCUAUAUAUUUGCGAAUAGUAACUCAUUGACUACCAUAUUUUUUUUGGCCGAUUUUGCCCUUCUUUUGUUGAACGAUGACCGUUUUCACCCCUCUAAUUUAGCAAUUACAGAGCCAUCAAAUUUCCCUUUUCGUAUUGGUGGGUUUGUUUCUCUCAAACGGAGAGGGGUGGUUUUAUCCGAUAAAAAGAGCAAGAAGCAAGCAUUGAAUGAGGUGAAUAUUGGCUUUCAAAACCCACGGGUCCUCAGAUCCAAUAUUUUUGUCGUCGGAAGUGGUGUUAACCAUUCCAUAGAUUUUGUUUUUUUGACAUAAGCAAGUUUAGAGAUUUGCAAUCGUAACACGUAUUUCUUGUGGGUUUUAAAAGUUCUUCUACAAAAAUAGCGAUUGUGUUGUUGUGUAUGCGCUUGCACUUCGUUUGAGAAGCAGAUUUGGAACAAGGUCAGUUUAAUCUUUUCAAUCCCAUUGAUAGAUGUUUUGAGGAAACUUUUUGUUAAUGAGAUGAGUUUUCAUUUGGAUAGAUGUGAGUGAAUAGUAACUCAGUGACCACCAUUUUUGUCCUCCCUACUUUGCCACUACUUUUGCGGAACGUUGUACGGCUAUAACUUCGCGAACAAUACCUCAGUGAUGACUGUAUUGUUUUUUGCUUUUGCCCCUUCUUUUGCUGAACGUUGGACGGCUUUCUUAGUUGAUCGAAUUACAGAGCAAUCGAAUCUCUAAUUUCUUAUAGUCGGUGGUUUUAUUUCUCUCAGAUGGAGAGGGAGUGGUUUAUACAGUAAAAUUGGAACGAGAAGCAUGCGUUGAUGAAGGUGAAUCUGUCCCUUUUAAAAUCCACGGGCCUCAUAUUCAAGAUUUGUCAUCGAAGUUGUGUUAACCGUUCCAAAAGAUCCGACAAAAGCAAGUCUGAAAUUUGUGAUUGUACUCAUAUUUCUUAUGGUUUAAAAGUUUUUCAACAAAAUGGCGAUUGAUGUGGGUUGGUGUAUGCGCCCGGUGUAUUCGUUGACAAAUCAGAUUUUUUGGAAAAGGUCAGGUUUAAGUUUUAAAUCACUAUGGAUAGAUGUUUUGAGGAAAAUUUGUAUCGUGUGAAUUAGUUUUCGUUUGGACAAUGUGAUUGAACAGUAACUCAGUGACCACCAUUUUUUUCCUCCGAUUGUGCCCUACUUUGCUAAACGUUGUCACGACUAUAAGUUCGCAAAAAUAAACUCCAGUGACGGACUAUAUUUUUUUUUUCCGCAUUUUGCCCCUACUUUUGUUAAAACGUUUGGAGCUUUCACCCUCUUAGUUCCAUCGACAUUACAGAGCCAGCGAAUCCCUAAUUUCUUAGUCGGUGGGUUUGCUUCUCUCAAACGUGACAAGGGAGGGUUUGUACCGGUAAAAUUGGACGCACGAGAAGCAAGCGGUUGAAGACAGUUGAUAUUGUGGUUUUCAAAACCACGAGUCUCGACCAAGAUUUGCGUCGAAACGUUGUGUUUUAAACCAUUCAAGAAUAUCUGACAGAAACAAGUCCGAGAUUUGCGAUCAUACACGUAUUUCUUGUUAUUUAAAAGUUCUUCUACGAAAUGGGGAUUGAUGUUAGCUGUGUAUGCGCUCCACUUCGUUUGAGAAUCAGAUUUGGAACAAGGACAAUUUAAUCUUUUCAAUCCUAUUGAGAGGUGUUUUGAGAAAAAAUUUUAUUCAUGAGAUGAGUUUUUAUUUGGAUAAAUGUGAGUGAACAGUAACUCAGUGACCACCAUUUUUUUCCUUACUUUUUUUAAUUGUUGUACGGCUAUAUAUUCGUGAAAAGGAACUCAGUGACGACCAUAUUUUUUUUUCACCGCUUUUGCACCUAUUUUUACUAAACGUUGGACGGUUUUCACCCACUUCGUUGAUUGAAUUACAGAGCCACCGAAUCUAUUUCUUAUAAUCGGUUGGUUGUUUCUCUCAGACGGAGAGGUGGUAUAGUGAUUUGUACGGUAAAAUUGGAGCGAGACGCAGGGUUGAUGAAGGUGGAAUCUGUGCUUUCAAAAAUCCACGGUCUUAGAUCCAAGAUUGUCGUCGAAGUUUGUGGAAACCAUUCCGGAAGAUCGACAGAAGCGUGAGUCUGAGAUUUGUGAUCGUACACGUAUUUGUUGUGGUUUAAAAGUUCUUCUACGAAAUGGCAAUUGAUGUUGGCUAUGUAUGCGCUGCACUUCGUUUGAAAAUUAGAUUUGGAACAAGGUUAGUUUAAUCUUUUCAAUCCUAUUGAUAGAUGUUCUGAGGAAAAUUUUUAUUCAUAAGAUGAGUUUUCGUUUGGAUAAAUGUGAGUGAACAGUAACUUCAGUGACCACCUUUUUUUUUCUCCCGAUUUUGGUCCUACUUUUGCUGAACGUUGUAUGGCUAUAUGUUCGUAAACAAUAACUCAAUAAUGACUAUAUUUUUUUUUGCCACUUUUGCCCCUACUUUUGCUGAACGUUGGGCGGUUUCCAUCCUCUUAGUUGAUCGAAUUACAAAGUCAUCAAAUUCAUAAUUUCUUAUAGUUGGUGGGUUUAUUUCCUAAACUGAUAGUGUAGUUUGUAACGGUAAAUUGAGCGAUAAGCAGCGUUGAUGAAGGUGAAUUUGUGUCUUUCAUUCAAAACCCCGUGUCCAAAUCCAGAUUUGUCCGUCGAAGUUGUGUUAACCACUUCGAGAAGAUCGACCGACACAAGUCUGAGAUUUGCAAUUGUAGCACGUAAUUUCUUGUGUUUUCAAAGGUCGUCUAAUACGAAAUUGCUAUGAUGUUUGGCUGUGUAAUGCGUUGCACUGCGUUUGAGAAUCAGAUUGGAACACGGUCCGUUUAAUCUUUUCAAAAUUAUUGAUAGAUGUUUUGAGAAAAAAUUUUAUUCAUGAGAUGAUUUUUCGUUUGGAUAAAUGUUCGUGAACAGUAACUCAGUGAUCAUCAUUUUUUUCCUCUUGAUUUUGCCCCUACUUUUGUUGAACGUUGUACGGCUAUAAGUUCUCGAACAAUAACUCAGUGACGACUGUAUUAUUUUUUGCCACUUUUGCCCCUACUUUUGCUGAACGUUGUACAACUUUCACCCUCUUGGUUGA
rnacentral:lncRNA from 1 species